rnacentral:rRNA from 1 species
GACGAACGCUGGCGGCGUGCUUAACACAUGCAAGUCGAACGGAAAGGCCCUGCUUUUGUGGGGUGCUCGAGUGGCGAACGGGUGAGUAACACGUGAGUAACCUGCCCUUGACUUUGGGAUAACUUCAGGAAACUGGGGCUAAUACCGGAUAGGAGCUCCUGCUGCAUGGUGGGGGUUGGAAAGUUUCGGCGGUUGGGGAUGGACUCGCGGGUUAUCAGCUUGUUGGUGGGGUAGUGGCUUACCAAGGCUUUGACGGGUAGCCGGCCUGAGAGGGUGACCAGCGACAUGGGGACUAAGAUACGGACCAGACUGCAACGGGAGGCAGCAGUGGAGAACAUGGCACAAUGGGCGGAAGCCUGAGACAGCGGCGCCGCGUUCGGGAUGACCGCCUUCGGGGUGUAAACCGCUUUCGCCUGUGACGAAGCGUGAGUGACGGUAAUUGGUAAAGAAGCACCGGCUAACUACGUG